ensembl:rRNA 5S_rRNA 5S ribosomal RNA
GUCUGUGGCCCUACCACCCUGAACAUGUCUGGUCCCCUCUAAUCUUGGAAGCUAAGCAAAAUUAGGCCUGGUUAAUACUUGAAUGGGAGACUGCCUGGGAAUACCAGAUGCUGUUGCCU